CCUACGGGCGGCUGCAGUGGGGAAUUUUGGACAAUGGGCGAAAGCCUGAUCCAGCCAUGCCGCGUGCAGGAUGAAGGCCUUCGGGUUGUAAACUGCUUUUGUACGGAACGAAAAGACUCCUUCUAAUAAAGGGGGUCCAUGACGGUACCGUAAGAAUAAGCACCGGCUAACUACGUGCCAGCAGCCGCGGUAAUACGUAGGGUGCAAGCGUUAAUCGGAAUUACUGGGCGUAAAGCGUGCGCAGGCGGUUAUAUAAGACAGAUGUGAAAUCCCCGGGCUCAACCUGGGAACUGCAUUUGUGACUGUAUAGCUAGAGUACGGCAGAGGGGGAUGGAAUUCCGCGUGUAGCAGUGAAAUGCGUAGAUAUGCGGAGGAACACCGAUGGCGAAGGCAAUCCCCUGGGCCUGUACUGACGCUCAUGCACGAAAGCGUGGGGAGCAAACAGGAUUAGAUACCCCAGUAGUC
rnacentral:rRNA from 1 species